CAUGUUGUCUUGCACAUAGAUGUAUGGGCUGAAAUGCAGUAUAUGCUGCAUAUAACUGUGUAAAUGAAUGCAUCGACUGCUGCAACAUCCUGUUGGCGUUGUAGCCUUUCAGAGCCACCCAAGGAACUCACAGUAUUCUGCUGCAGUGCCUUUGUCCCUCUUGUCCAGCACCUAGAGGAGAGCUUUGGCAGCAUCUGUGAGAGGCUCACUCAGCUGUGGGGCCUGACCCAGGUGGGUGUGUGGGGUGAGCUGGAGUUACUUGUUCUGGGGAAGAGAUGCUGACCUGGGCCAGCCCAUCCCACCUUACCUUACCUGAGGCUGUCCCACUCACUGCUGUGCUGUUAGGGCUUAAGAGUGGUCUCUAUUAAUAUCAGGUGAGGAAGAAUGAGAAGAAGGUGUCCUGCAAGCUUACGUCCUUUUCGGGUAAUGAAAGAAGCUACAGUUUCUUAAAGGAAGGACAGAGGAACAUCCUCUUCAGACUGACACAAAAAGGGUUAAAGUUCCAGGUACCUGUCUGGAAGAGAAGAAGAACUACGUUCCCCAUAUCACCCUGCCAAGAUCUCGCAAUGGUAAGCGUUAUGUGCUUACCAUGGUGGAAGCGACCACUGGGUGGCUUGAAACAUAUGCAGUACCCCAUGCUACCGCCCGAAACACCAUAUUAGGCCUCGAGGAACAAGUUCUCUGGUGACAUGGUACCCCAGAGAGAGUCGAAUCAGAUAAUGGGACUCAUUGCAAAAAUUCCCUUGUAAAUACUUGGGCCAAAGAUCAUGGCAUUGAGUGGAUUUAUCAUAUCCCCUAUCACGCACCAGCUUCUGGUAAAAUUGAAUGAUACAACGGGUUGUUAAAAACCAUGUUGAAAGCAAUGGGUGGCGGAACAUUUAAGCACUGGGAGAAGCAUUUGGCCGAAGCCACCUGGUUGGUGAAUACUCGAGGAUCUAUCAAUCGUGAUGGUCCUGCCAGCUCCCUACAUACUGUAAAGGGAGAUAAGGUCCCUGUAGUACAUGUAAAGAACAUGCUGGGAAAAGCAGUUUGGGUCCUUCCAGCUUCUGGGAAGGGCAAACCUCUUCACGGAACUGUUUUUGCCCAGGGACCUGGGUGCACUUGGUGGGUGAUGCAGAAAAAUGGGGAUGUUCAUUGUGUGCCACAAGGGAAUUUGAUGAUGGGAGAGCGGAAUCAGUAAUUCCAAGUAUAUGUACAUGUGUUCAGUGUUGGAUAAUUGAUUAUAAUUAUGUCUGUUUGUAUAUAUUAAGCAUGCUGUAAUGAUGUAGAAUAAGGGGUGGAAUGUCAUGGUUUUAUGAUUUUUGGUUAUCAGUAUUCCACAUCACAACAUCAUGCAGUGUACUGGGAGCUAAGGAGCAAAUGCUUUAGUUCCGGGUACCUGUCUGGAAGAGAAUAAGAACUACGUUCCCCAAGAGACUUUUCGAGUACUGUUAUCAUUCCUGCUCAAGGGAACAGAUAUAAGGGCGCAGGUCAUGUGACUUGUCCCUCUUCUCGUCUCGCCGUGUUCCCUGUCGGAUCGGCUCGCUACUGCUGCGCCCGACUGCACGCAAGGCUUCAGUAUUAGCGUAAGGCCUUUGGCUCUCGGACAGUCCCAAAUAAUGAACAGACUUGUUGUCUACAGUAAUGCAUAAGAAAAAAUAUACGUGAUGGAACCCAGUCAGAGCUGAAGUUCCUAGCAGUGUGCUUGGUCACGAUAACCAGCAAAGGAUAAAAAUAAUAUGUGUUUAAUACUAGGAAUUCUCUGUUUCGGGUAGCACUAGGGGAUCUGUGAAGGACUGAGACAUCUUUGUUUUAUGCAGAACAUCCCUGCAGGAUGAAAAUCUCCUGUCUUUUAAAGGCGUUCUCUUCUGAAGCAGUUCGUUGUCCCUGCUAGCAUCUGUCCUCCUCAGGCCCUGGUGUCAUCCUCUGAGAAGCACACACCUCACGUUCCCAGGCCAGGAAGCAAGCAGUCUGUUGCCUUCUCUUCUUUCUUGCCAUGAAACCAUCAUGCUUCUGGCCUUCUUUGCUCAUCCCC
rnacentral:lncRNA from 1 species